rnacentral:rRNA from 1 species
GAUGAACCCUGGCGGCGUGCCUAAUACAUGCAAGUCGAGCGAACAGACGAGGAGCUUGCUCCUCUGACGUUAGCGGCGGACGGGUGAGUAACACGUGGAUAACCUACCUAUAAGACUGGGAUAACUUCGGGAAACCGGAGCUAAUACCGGAUAAUAUAUUGAACCGCAUGGUUCAAUAGUGAAAGACGGUUUUGCUGUCACUUAUAGAUGGAUCCGCGCCGCAUUAGCUAGUUGGUAAGGUAACGGCUUACCAAGGCGACGAUGCGUAGCCGACCUGAGAGGGGGAUCGGCCACACUGGAACUGAGACACGGUCCAGACUCCUACGGGAGGCAGCAGUAGGGAAUCUUCCGCAAUGGGCGAAAGCCUGACGGAGCAACGCCGCGUGAGUGAUGAAGGUCUUCGGAUCGUAAAACUCUGUUAUUAGGGAAGAACAAAUGUGUAAGUAACUAUGCACGUCUUGACGGUACCUAAUCAGAAAGCCACGGCUAACUACGUG